rnacentral:rRNA from 1 species
GAUGAACGCUGGCGGCGUGCCUAAUACAUGCAAGUCGAGCGAACAGACGAGGAGCUUGCUCCUCUGACGUUAGCGGCGGACGGGUGAGUAACACGUGGAUAACCUACCUAUGAGACUGGGAUAGCUUCGGGAAACCGGAGCUAAUACCGGAUAAUAUAUUGAACCGCAUGGUUCAAUAGUGAAAGACGGUUUUGCUGUCACUUAUAGAUGGAUCCGCGCCGCAUUAGCUAGUUGGUAAGGUAACGGCUUACCAAGGCAACGAUGCGUAGCCGACCUGAGAGGGUGAUCGGCCACACUGGAACUGAGACACGGUCCAGACUCCUACGGGAGGCAGCAGUAGGGAAUCUUCCGCAAUGGGCGAAAGCCUGACGGAGCAACGCCGCGUGAGUGAUGAAGGUCUUCGGAUCGUAAAACUCUGUUAUUAGGGAAGAACAAAUGUGUAAGUAACUAUGCACGUCUUGACGGUACCUAAUCAGAAAGCCACGGCUAACUACGUG